ensembl:lncRNA
CUGUGAUUGGCCCACCCUGGAUGGUGCCCAUCUGCAGAGACAGAUGGGGUCAGUCACACAGAAAGCUGAUGGCCUGAGAGUUGGGGCGAGGAGACCCAGGAGCCAUCAGAAAAGGGGACGGAAGCAGGGGGGUGAGCAUGGCAGCAGCCUGCAGGAUGGCUUCCCAUGGCCGCUGUGGGGUGGGAACUGGAGCAGUGUUUUCCCUCCCAUGUGUCGGGUCUCCAGACCCUGCACCCAGCGGUGCCACUCGACGCUUCCCCUGGGCCCCAAAGUGUCGCCCUGGGCAGGCCCGUCAGGGAAGGUGCUUGCCGAGGGCGAGGCCCAGGGCAGGCAACCCCAUCAGGAUUCAGGCUGUGGGGCAGAAAGGGACAGGCCACCUUCCAAGGUGGCAGCCAGGCCAAGCCAGCAGGCCCGGGCCUGGGAGGGGCCUUGGGGCCAGAACCGGAAUUGGGCCAAAGCAGCAGCAAGCCCCGCAGGGCCAUCCCGCCGUGGCUCAGCAAGGCGCCCGGCACCGGAGCUGCGGGGCUGCACCUGAAGGCGGGGGCUGAGCCAGAGGUCAGCGGGUGGACGCGGGCCAGGGGGGCUGGGAACGUGUCUGAGUGUGUGAGUGAGAGGUGGCGUGCGUGUGUGGGCCAGUGUGAGGGCACACGUGUGCACACGUGCUGUGACCGCAGUCGGGACCAGGGUAGACGCAGGUUCUCAUGUGGGGUCUGAGGGGGCCCGACUUUGGACACUGAGGAUGGGGCGGGGCUGAGAGGCUGCAGACGGGCCGCCCAGUGCUGGGCUCCUGCGGAGUGCAGGGCGGGCACUGGAGCUGCGGAGCCGGUUCAGGGCCCCAGGAGGACAGGCAGCUCAGGACGACAGUGACAGCUGCUGCUUCCACUGGCCGGGGGUGGCCGUCAGUGCCUCUCACCCCACAAGCAACAGACAGCCCACACAUCGCAGUUCAGACGCAGGGCAGCACGUGACACAGCCAAGCUGGUUUGAGAGCAGGGCCGUCCUGACUCUUAGAGGACACAGGACAUCGGCUCCGGGGCCGUCCAUUGGGAAAGGAUGUACCUGGAGCCAGGGCAGGACAAGGUCAGGACAAGGAUGCAGCCUUGGUGCCCAAAGAUGGAGCUGCCUGCUUAUGACCAUGGGGAUUAAAGACACAGCUGGCGACGGUGCCAUCGGGAAGCUGGGAGGAGCCUGGUUCCUGACGGCUCCUUGAAGCCCUGGUACCAGCCUGGCAGCUGCCAACCUUGAGAGUCCUCGUGACAGGAGGAAAAUAAGGCCGUAUUGGUUAAGCUGCUGUGGUUAGCGCAUGAAGCAAGCCGAAUUGUAACCAAUGCGAUUCUAAUUAAAGACAAGGUACAAAAUGCGGUGUCGUGGGUUGACUCGAUAUGUCCUCUUGGAACCUCAGAAUGUGACCUUAUUUGGAAUGAAGGUCUUUGCAGAUGUGUUAAGGUGAGGACCUCAAGAUGAGGUCAUCCUGGAUCAGUGUGGGCCCUAAAUCCAACGACACGGGUCAUGAGAAGACACACAGGGAAGACGCCGUGUGAAGAUGAGGCAGAGGUGGGAGUGAUGAGGCCACAAGCCAAGGAGCAAACGUCAGGAGCCGCCAGUUGCUGGAAGAGGCAGGGAAGGGUCCACCCAGGAGCCUUCUGAGGGAGCACGGCCCCUCACAGCUCAUUUCAGGCUUCCGGCCUCCAGAACUGUGAGAGAAGAAAUUCCUGUUGUUUGAAGUGACCAAGUUUGUGGUCAUUUGUUACAGCAGCCCUAAGAC